GGACUGCCUUUUGCAUAAUGAGCCUGCGAGUUGUGGUGUCUGGCAAGGUUAAGCAAACGCGAAGCCGUAGCGAAAGCGAGUCUGAAUAGGGCGCUUAGUCAGAUGCUGCAGACCCGAAACGAAGUGAUCUAUCCAUGAGCAAGUUGAAGCUAGUGUAAGAACUAGUGGAGGACUGAACCCAUAGGCGUUGAAAAGCCCCGGGAUGACUUGUGGAUAGGGGUGAAAGGCCAAUCAAACUUCGUGAUAGCUGGUUCUCUCCGAAAUAUAUUUAGGUAUAGCGUUGUGUCGUAAUAUAAGGGGGUAGAGCACUGAAUGGGCUAGGGCAUACACCAAUGUACCAAACCCUAUCAAACUCCGAAUACCUUAUAUGUAAUCACAGCAGUCAGGCGGCGAGUGAUAAAAUCCGUCGUCAAGAGGGAAACAACCCAGACUACCAGCUAAGGUCCCUAAAUCUUACUUAAGUGGAAAACGAUGUGAAGUUACUUAAACAACCAGGAGGUUGGCUUAGAAGCAGCCAUCCUUUAAAGAAAGCGUAAUAGCUCACUGGUCUAGUGAUUUUGCGCGGAAAAUAUAACGGGGCUAAAGUAAGUACCGAAGCUGUAGACUUAGUUUACUAAGUGGUAGGAGAGCGUUCUAUUUGCGUCGAAGGUAUACCGGUAAGGAGUGCUGGAGCGAAUAGAAGUGAGCAUGCAGGCAUGAGUAGCGAUAAUUAAUGUGAGAAUCAUUAACGCCGUAAACCCAAGGUUUCCUACGCGAUGCUCGUCAUCGUAGGGUUAGUCGGGUCCUAAGUCGAGUCCGAAAGGGGUAGACGAUGGCAAAUUGGUUAAUAUUCCAAUACCAACAUUAGUGUGCGAUGGAAGGACGCUUAGGGCUAAGGGGGCUAGCGGAUGGAAGUGCUAGUCUAAGGUCGUAGGAGGUUAUACAGGCAAAUCCGUAUAACAAUACUCCGAGAACUGAAAGGCUUUUUGAAGUCUUCGGAUGGAUAGAAGAACCCCUGAUGCCGUCGAGCCAAGAAAAGUUUCUAAGUUUAGCUAAUGUUGCCCGUACCGUAAACCGACACAGGUGGGUGGGAUGAGUAUUCUAAGGCGCGUGGAAGAACUCUCUUUAAGGAACUCUGCAAAAUAGCACCGUAUCUUCGGUAUAAGGUGUGGUUAGCCUUGUAUUAGGAUUUACUCCGAAAGCAAGGAAACUUACAACAAAGAGUCCCUCCCGACUGUUUACCAAAAACACAGCACUCUGCUAACUCGUAAGAGGAUGUAUAGGGUGUGACGCCUGCCCGGUGCUCGAAGGUUAAUUGAUGGGGUUAGCAUUAGCGAAGCUCUUGAUCGAAGCCCGAGUAAACGGCGGCCGUAACUAUAACGGUCCUAAGGUAGCGAAAUUCCUUGUCGGUUAAAUACCGACCUGCAUGAAUGGCGUAACGAGAUGGGAGCUGUCUCAAAGAGGGAUCCAGUGAAAUUGUAGUGGAGGUGAAAAUUCCUCCUACCCGCGGCAAGACGGAAAGACCCCGUGGACCUUUACUACAGCUUGACACUGCUACUUGGAUAAGAAUGUGCAGGAUAGGUGGGAGGCUUUGAGUAUAUGACGCCAGUUGUAUAUGAGCCAUUGUUGAGAUACCACUCUUUCUUAUUUGGGUAGCUAACCAGCUUGAGUUAUCCUCAAGUGGGACAAUGUCUGGUGGGUAGUUUGACUGGGGCGGUCGCCUCCCAAAUAAUAACGGAGGCUUACAAAGGUUGGCUCAGAACGGUUGGAAAUCGUUCGUAGAGUAUAAAGGUAUAAGCCAGCUUAACUGCAAGACAUACAAGUCAAGCAGAGACGAAAGUCGGUCUUAGUGAUCCGGUGGUUCUGUGUGGAAGGGCCAUCGCUCAAAGGAUAAAAGGUACCCCGGGGAUAACAGGCUGAUCUCCCCCAAGAGCUCACAUCGACGGGGAGGUUUGGCACCUCGAUGUCGGCUCAUCGCAUCCUGGGGCUGGAGCAGGUCCCAAGGGUAUGGCUGUUCGCCAUUUAAAGCGGUACGCGAGCUGGGUUCAGAACGUCGUGAGACAGUUCGGUCCCUAUCUGCCGUGGGCGUAAGAAGAUUGAAGAGAUUUGACCCUAGUACGAGAGGACCGGGUUGAACAAACCACUGGUGUAGCUGUUGUUCUGCCAAGAGCAUCGCAGCGUAGCUAAGUUUGGAAAGGAUAAACGCUGAAAGCAUCUAAGCGUGAAGCCAACUCUAAGAUGAAUCUUCUCUAAGCUCUCUAGAAGACUACUAGUUUGAUAGGCUGGGUGUGUAAUGGAUGAAAGUCCUUUAGCUGACCAGUACUAAUAGAGCGUUUGGCUUAUCUUUAAUAAAGCAU
rnacentral:rRNA from 1 species